UACAUGUGGGGCAAGCGUUGUUCGGAAUUACUGGGCAUAAAGGGUGCGUAGGCGGUUUGUUAAGUCAGGGGUGAAAGUUUUCGGCCCAACCGGAAAAUGGCCUUUGAUACUGGCGAACUUGAGUGCGUGAGGGGUAACCGGAACGAGUGGUGUAGCGGUGAAAUGCGUAGAUAUCACUCGGAAGGCCAACGGCGAAGGCAGGUUACUGGUACGCAACUGACGCUGAGGCACGAAAGUGUGGGGAUCAAACAGG
rnacentral:rRNA from 1 species